rnacentral:misc_RNA from 1 species
GUCUCCAAGCAUAGUGGUGGACUCAGUGAAUUAAGUUACUUGAAUAAUUUGAGAGAAGAUCUAGAGAUCUUGAAUCUUCAGUAUGUGAAAAAUCCAGCAUCUGAAUUUGNNNNUCGAUUUGAAAGAGAAGCAACACCUUCAAUCCUUAUCGUUAGCAUGGCAGUUGGGCGAUCGCUAUGAUAAUGAUAGUAAUAGGGGUCCAGAUAAUGU